rnacentral:rRNA from 1 species
UCUGGUGAUUUUAGCGAGAGGGCAACACCCGUUCCCAUUCCGAACACGGCAGUUAAGCCUCUCAGCCCCGAUGAUACUCCUCCGGGGGGAAAGUAGGACAUUGCCAGUU